UCUUUUCCUCCCAAUUAUGAAUAAACAUAGUUACAGCAGCCCAGUGCUUAAGAUUAACCCUUCAAUGACAAAAUGAUAUGAGUAACCUUACAAUAAUAGAGAAGCUUGCUCAACCCUGUGUUCAUAAGCAACUUUACAUUAACAAAUCAGUGUGAAUUCAUAAAGGAGAAAUAAAUAAAGAAGGAAGCAGAUUUUAGGUUCAAGCUUCUGUAUGUAUUUUUUAAGGGUGAGAUAAAAAAAUGACAUCUCUUUUCUAAAGUUCUGUGCAUGUUACUUUCAGAUAAUAAUGAAUAAUCUCCUUCACUCCCACCCAAACAGCGGACAGGACAGCGUACUGCAUGGGAGUUGUCUUAAAGUGUUGAAUUGCUGGCAUUUCCUGACAGACUUUUGGAACAAGGGUUACAUGUCAGCUGUUUGUGCAAACUGUGAACACCUCACCGGAUGGAAGGGGUACCAGAAUACAUGAUUAUGAAGGGAUUAUGAUGGGAAAUUAGUUUGUAGUAGAGCAGGAGAGUAAACAGCUAAUUUUUGGUCUGAGGAGAUUCUGUGAAAGAGAGAUAUAUGAUAAGAAAAUAAUCUGGGGAAUGCAAGCAAUGCCCCACCCCAUGCUGCUAAGAGUGCGUGCAUGCUGGAUCAGGAGAAUGCAAUAAUCCUGCCCUGUGAACUGGUCUCAUUGUUACUGUGUAAUGCUGCUGGAGCAUGCCUGCAAAAUCAUCAUGAAUAUUUACUAGCCUAGGCACAAAGUCUACUUGCCUGCUUUUACCAUGCUGUGCUGAAAAUAUGAUGAUACGUUAAUUGCCCAUCAGAUAAAAUCACGUGUGCCUCAAACUAAUGUGGUAAGUAGAGUAAGAGAAUUAAAGAGGCUGUAGAAUUAGAAACCAUUUCAUCAUGGGUGGUCAGCAUGCAUGCUGCUGUUUUAUGGAUACCAGAAUUGUUGUAUGCCCCCCCUUCCCAGAAGAGUACAGGAAACUAAUCUGAAGAACUUAAAAGUACUUGAAGUACUGAUUGACACUCCCCUCUGAUAGUGGAAAAGAGCAGAUUAUGAUGCUCUACUCGUAUGUAAAGACUUGUGAAAAUAAAUUGUUUGAACAGACUGAUGCAUGGUCUGGUGGGAAUCGCUCCCAGUGAUACUCUGUUUGCAGGGCAGUAGAAUGAAAAGUCCCAAAUUCCUCACUGUGUCACAGUUUUCCAAUUUCAGUUCUGGUAAUAGUGAAUUGCUACUUUGAGGGAGACUGUUCAGGGAAAAGAAAAUGAUUUCCCCUGAGAGGAGGUCCUGCUGUGUGUGUUUUUGCGGAGGGUCUAGAAGUGUGGCAACAUUACAGGGUUGACUGGCUCAGUGCAAGACCUCUGAGGGACAGAGGGGAAGGAGAUGACAUUCCUCACUCCAUCAGCUAUGAUGCAUCUUUAACACUGUUUUCAUGGCAUAGAUAUGUGGUACUUUAGGAGUACAGCUAGAGAAGGAGAAGCCCUCAAACAAGUUCCAAAUGUCAUUUUAUUAAUACGCACUAUUUUAAUUGUACAGGUAUUUUGGGUGCUCCCUCCUCCUCCCAGGAAGGACAAACUUCAUAGAACACUGAGCUCCUAUGUAAUACUUUCCUUCUUCAAAGAGAUUUACUAUAUUUAACUAAUCAGUCCACCCAACACCCCUGUGAGGUAGGGACAUAUUGUUAUCCCAGUUUGAUUGAUGGUGAAACUGAGACACAAAGAUGUGAAAUGACUCUCCUCAGGGUUACACAGAGAGCCAGUAACAGAACUGGGAGGAGAACCCAUGGCUCCCAAUCCUGUUCUGUAACCACAGAUCAACCUCCUGAAACAAAGCUGCCCUGUUUCAAUACAAUAAAUAAAACUAACAAAAAUAUAGGUCCUGAAUACUCUCCUAUCCAAAUAAGACCAAGUAACUCAGCUCCUGAUACUGCACUGAGGACAAUGGCAGAAAGAAAAAAUACUAUAAUUACAGUCAUUAACAUUAUGUUAAUGAGUGCAGUCUCUGCAUGUACCUUAAACUUACACUAUAAGGGCUAUUUAUUCCAGGCCUAGUUGGAGCUCUUCCAUCUCUAAGGCAAUUACAUUACGGACACCUGUCACUUAAUACUAGCUCUUUACCCUCUGCCAUGUUAAAGAGAAUAGUGAAAAAUAGUGAAAAGGUGGACUGAUGUCCAAGGGCUCAAAUCCUUACUCAGGCAAGCAGUUUAAACAAAAUAAUAUGGAGUAAAGUUUACCUGAGU